rnacentral:rRNA from 1 species
GGUUCGAUCCUGGCCUGAUUGAACGCUGGCGGGAUGCUUUACACAUGCAAGUCGAACGGCAGCACGACUUCUGGUCUGGUGUGGCGAGAGUGGCGAACGGGUGAGUAAUGUAUCGGAACGUGCCUAGUAGCGGGGGAUAACUACGCGAAAGCGUAGCUAAUAUCAAAAGGUCAGUUCUUCGGGGGAAAGCGGGGGGACCUUCGGGCCUCGCACUAUUAGAGCGGCUGAUAUCGGAUUAGCUAGUUGGUGGGGUAACGGCUCACCAAGGCGACGAUCCGUAGCUGGUUUGAGAGGACGACCAGCCACACUGGGACUGAGACACGGCCCAGACUCCUACGGAGGCAGCAGGGGGAAUUGACAAUGGGGGAAACCCUUUAAUCAAGCCAUCCCGCGUGUGCGAUGAAGGCCUUCGGGCCAGCACUUUUUGGCAGGAAAGAAACGGCACGGGAUAAGACCGUGCAACUGACGGUACCUGCAGAAUAAGCACCGGCUAACUACGUGCCAAAGAGCGGUAAUACGUAGGGUGCAAGCGUUAAUCGGAAUUACUGGGCGGGAAGCGUGCGCAGGCGGUUCGGAAAGAAAGAUGUGGAAUCCCAGAGCUUAACUUUGGAACUGCAUUUAACUACCGAGCUAGAGGUCAGAGGGAGGUGGAAUCUGUGUAGCAGUGAAAUGCGUAGAUAUGCGGAGGAACACCGAUGGCGAAGGCAGCCUCCUGGGAUAACACUGACGCUCAUGCACGAAAGCGUGGGGAGCAAACAGGAUUAGAUACCCCCUGGUAGUCCACGCCCUAAACGAUGUCAACUAGCUGCUGGGGCCUUCGGGCUCGGUAGCGCAGCUAACGCGUGAAGUUGACCGCCUGGGGAGUACGGUCGCAAGAUUAAAACUCAAAGGAAUUGACGGGGACCUGCACAAGCGGUGGAUGAUGUGGAUUGUUCGAUGCAACGAAAACCUUUACCUACCCUUGACAUGUCUGGAAUCCUGAAGAGAUUUGGGAGUGCUCGCAAGAGAACCGGAACACAGGUGCUGCAUGGCUGUCGUCAGCUCGUGUCGUGAGAUGUUGGGUUAAGUCCCGGCAACGAGCGCAACCCCUUGUCAUUAGUUGCUACGAAAGGGCACUCUAAUGAGAUCUGCGACAAACCGAGGAAGGUGGGGAUGACGUCAAGUCCUCAUGGCUCCUUAUGUAGGGUCACAUACGUCAUACAAUGGUCGGGACAGAGGGUCGCCAACCCGCGAGGGGGAGCCAAUCCCAGAAACCCGAUCGUAGUCCGGAUCGCAGCUCCGUAACCCCACUGCGUGGGAAGUCGGAAUCGCUAGUAAUCGCGGAUCAGCAUGUCGCGGUGAAUACGUUCCCGGGUCUUGUACACACCGCCCGUCACACCAUGGAGUGGGGUUUUACCAGAAGUAGUUAGCUCAACCGUAAGGAGGGCGAUUACCACGGUAGGAUUCAUGACUGGGGUGAAGUCGUAACAAGGUAG